UUGCUAAUUGGUCGCUAAUCUGCGACACUCUUAUAAUUUUUUUGCGACUAAAUUAUAGUUGCUAGGGUUAAUUAUUUUGAAACCAUUUUUAAAAACAUUUGUGACUACUAUUGCAACUAACAUGAUAGUCACUACCAUUAUUUUUAAAAUUUAUUAAUAAAGAAAUUAAAAACGUAAAUAGUAUAAUAAAUCGUUGCCUAAAAAACACAAGAACUAACUAUCACUCCUUAAUCCUUAUUAUUCAUAAUCGCAGUACAUACUCUUCUUCCUUUAAAAAAAAAAAAAACCAAAGGCUUCCAUGGCGAAUUUCAAAACCAAGUUCAGAACUUCAGAGUGAACUUGUUGCCGUCGUUUUCAUCUUCCGCCGCUGCCAGCACAUCUCCUCCCAUGUUAGUUACGCAUUCUUCCCCUUCCUACCGUCCAUUCCAUCUUUCUCUUAAUACAAUUUGCCAAUUGCAAAUUUUAGGCAUACAUAUACUUGAAGACCUGAGUUUGAAGAAAGCCAAAAAAUGGCGGCAGAAAGUUUAAAAUAUGCCAAGGAAAUUGCUGAAAAUCAUGAGAUAGAAAAAGCAACACGGAAGAAGAAAAAAAUGGCUAUGCACAAAACAUCGAAGGAUAUUACAACCCUUGUCCAACAUUACUGUCUUACUAAGCCUCCUAUGUCUACUCUCACCAGCUCUCGUGAUUCAACUAAGUGAUUUUUAAUUUCUUGGUGAUAAUUUUGUGAACAGCUAAUCUUUAAUAUUUGGAGGCAUAUUUGUAUAUCGUUAUUAGUUUUUAUUGGAAGUAGCUUCUUUUAUAUGAGGUGAUUUUGAAAAAAAUUAGUCAUAUGGUUGAGAAUGUUGUUUUUUAAUACAUUGAUACAAAACUGAUGAUAAUUUUGAUUUAUUAAUAUGGUUUGGAUAUUUGAAUAAAUUUGACAUUUUUUUUUUGUGACA